AAGAACGCAGCUAGCUACGACAGGUCGAAUUGCACACACACUGAGCACUAAAAUUUCGAACGCACAUUGUGCCAUCGGGUUCAUUGCCGCUGGCAUGUCUGGCUGAGGGUUA
rnacentral:rRNA from 1 species